rnacentral:misc_RNA from 1 species
GAUGAAGAACGUAGUGAAAUGCGAUAAGUAGUGUGAAUUGCAGAAUUCAGUGAAUCAUCGAAUCUUUGAACGCACAUUGCGCCCGGCAGUACUCUGCCGGGCAUGCCUGUUCGAGCGUCAUUUCAACCCUCAAGCGCUGCUUGGUGUUGGGGUCCCACGGCCGCCGUGGGCCCUGAAAGGAAGUGGCGGGCUCGCUACAACUCCGAGCGUAGUAAUUCAUUAUCUCGCUUAGGGCGUUGGGCGGCGCUCCUGCCGUUAAAGAACCAUCUUUAACUCAAGGUUGACCUCGGAUCAGGUAGGAAUACCCGCUGAACUUAAGCAUAUCAAUAAGCGGAGGA